AGCGGACGCUGGCGGCAGGCUUAACACAUGCAAGUCGAACGGGCAUCUUCGGAUGUCAGUGGCAGACGGGUGAGUAACACGUGGGAACGUACCCUUCGGUUCGGAAUAACUCAGGGAAACUUGAGCUAAUACCGGAUACGCCCUUUUGGGGAAAGGUUUACUGCCGAAGGAUCGGCCCGCGUCUGAUUCGCUUGUUGGUGGGGUAACGGCCUACCAAGGCGACGAUCAGUAGCUGGUCUGAGAGGAUGAUCAGCCACACUGGGACUGAGACACGGCCCAGACUCCUACGGGAGGCAGCAGUGGGGAAUAUUGGACAAUGGGCGCAAGCCUGAUCCAGCCAUGCCGCGUGAGUGAUGAAGGCCUUAGGGUUGUAAAGCUCUUUUGUCCGGGACGAUAAUGACGGUACCGGAAGAAUAAGCCCCGGCUAACUUCGUG
rnacentral:rRNA from 1 species